UCCUCUGUAGUUCAGUCGGUAGAACGGCGGACUGUUAAUCCGUAUGUCACUGGUUCUAGUCCAGUCAGAGGAGCCA
rnacentral:tRNA from 4 species